CGAGAGUGUGACGGGGUUACCCAAAGUGUUCAAUUUUGAACUGUGGUAGGUGAGUAAUGUUCCCUACUAGAAAGGAGAGGGCAAGGCUGGUGCCAGCCGCCGCGGUAAAACCAGCUCUUCAAGUGGUCGGGAUAAUUAUUGGGCUUAAAGUGUCCGUAGCCGGUUUAGUAAGUUCCUGGUAAAAUCGGGUAGCUUAACUAUCUAUAUGCUAGGAAUACUACUAUACUAGAGGGCGGGAGAGGUCUGAGGUACUACAGGGGUAGGGGUGAAAUCUUAUAAUCCUUGUUGGACCACCAGUGGCGAAGGCGUCAGACUGGAACGCGCCUGACGGUGAGGGACGAAAGCCAGGGGAGCGAACCGGAUUAGAUACCCGGGUAGUCCUGGCCGUAAACGAUGCACACUAGGUGAUGGCACGGCCAUGAGCCGUGUCAGUGCCGUAGGGAAACCGUUAAGUGUGCCGCCUG
rnacentral:rRNA from 1 species